rnacentral:lncRNA from 1 species
GCAGCUGCCGGACACCAGGAGACGAUGGAAGGUCUAUAGUGUUACAGCUCUGACCCAGGAAGUCCCAGGGUCUUGCCUUCCAGAAGGGUCGCGGCUCUUCCCUCCCUCAGUCCAACGAACAGGAGCACGUCACCUCCCGCAGCUCGGGGAGCUGGCCAGGAACGUGUUACAGCCCGUUUCGCUCCUGUCCGCAGCUGGGUGAGGCAGCCAGGAAAAUAUUACAGCUCUUCUCACGCCCGCCAUUCAGCAGGUCCUGACUUCUUGUGUGACAUCCAGAAGAAAGGGGUUACACAGACAGCUGGAGGGUGAGCAAAGUGGAGAAGUUCUCAGCAGAGAGGAGACUGGAGUGAGUUGCCCCUACCCGCAGGUGCCAACUGUAAUACAUCAGUAGCUGAACAGCUCAUUGCCCUCAAGUGUUCUUGCUCAUGCCUGGCUGAGUUAUUGAAGAAAUUGCUCAGAUCUCAAGCCCUUGUAGAUCACUGGUCCUGGCAGAUGUUAUUCCAAACCAUAUUUGAGCAGGGAGAAAAAUCAGUGCACUUGAAGAUAAGACAAUGGAAAUUGAGUCUUGGAAGAAGAGGGAACAGAUUCUGUGGGACACAGCAAACAGACCACCAUGUGCAUUGUGGGAAUCCCCGAAGAAGAAGAAAAAGAAAAUGGAAUAAAAUACUCAAAGAAAUAGUGGCUAAAAACCUCUUAAAUGAAAAAGAUACAAGUACGAACAUUAAAAAAAUUCAAAACACAUCAAAAUGAAAUCAAAGAGACCCACACUAAGACACUUUAUAAUCAAUCUUUUGAAAGAUAAAGACAAAAAGAAGAUCUUAAAAGCAGCAAGAUAACUGACUUACAUACAAGAGAUCAGCAAUACCAUUAUCAGAUUUCUCAUGAGACAUUUUGAAGGCCAGAAGGCAUUGGACCUUGAAAAUCUCCCAAGUGCUGAAAGAAAAAGCAAAAACAAAACAAAAAAACCCACAAAAACAAAACAAAACAAAAUAGCCACAAAAAAUGCUGUCAACCAAGAAUCCUAUAGAAAAUCUGUCCUUCAAAUGUAAGAAAUUAAAACAUUUUUAGAUGAACAAAGCUUUGGGAAUUUAUUACCACUAGACCUACUCUACAGAAAAGUUUCAAGGGACUUCUACAAAAUGAAAUAACACUAGACAGUAAUUUGAAGCCAUAUAAAGAAAUAAAGAUGUCAACAAAGAAACCAGCAAAGAGUACAUAGAACAAACAUUUUUUUUAGAAGGAUUAAAUGGGACAAUUAAACAAUUUGAUCAGCAUAAUGUCCAGCUCAAGGAUCUUGGAGGUGGUGAGGCAGCCCAAGUGGAAAGGCAGCAGAAGGGGUAUCCUUGUUUUACCAAUUACUCAUAUGUAGGAGAUGGUGCAUUAAAUGAAAUAUUCUCUGCUCUCUCCUAACAUCUACCCCCUCACACCAAGAGGAAGGCAUGUCGCCUGAACCUUUGCAGUAUUCAAUUAAAGUUCUAUUCACACGGUAUUGCAGUUGUUUGCUUAUCUUUCUUUCUUAUUAGACUUAAAACUUCUGGAAACUAGAGGCUAUAUUACUUAUUUGCCUCAGAGUCCUGUUGGCCUAUCAAAUGGCACACCUUCAAUCCAAGAAUGAAUUAAUUAAAUAAAUGUGAAGAAAAAAAAAAUCCAAGUUGCUUAUUUUUGUUAAAUUUAUUUUUCCCCAAAAUAUUUACUGAGAAAAUGACUCUGGGAAGAUAGCAGAGUGGAAAGCCCCAGAAAUGUGUUUCCCCACCUAGACAACAACUGUACUGGCAGAAUCUGUUUGAUGUGACUAUUCUGAAGUUCUGAAUUGAAUAAAUAUGAAGAAAAUACAAA